GAUGAACGCUGGCGGCGUGCCUAAUACAUGCAAGUAGAACGCUGAAGGAAGGAGCUUGCUCUUUCCGGAUGAGUUGCGAACGGGUGAGUAACGCGUAGGUAACCUGCCUGGUAGCGGGGGAUAACUAUUGGAAACGAUAGCUAAUACCGCAUAACAGUAGAUGUUGCAUGAUAUCUACUUAAAAGGUGCAAUUGCACCACUACCAGAUGGACCUGCGUUGUAUUAGCUAGUUGGUGAGGUAACGGCUCACCAAGGCGACGAUACAUAGCCGACCUGAGAGGGUGAUCGGCCACACUGGGACUGAGACACGGCCCAGACUCCUACGGGAGGCAGCAGUAGGGAAUCUUCGGCAAUGGACGGAAGUCUGACCGAGCAACGCCGCGUGAGUGAAGAAGGUUUUCGGAUCGGAAAGCUCUGUUGUAAGAGAAGAACGAGUGUGAGAGUGGAAAGUUCACACUGUGACGGUAUCUUACCAGAAAGGGACGGCUAACUACGUG
rnacentral:rRNA from 1 species